AAGGGAAAGAUGAAAGAACUAAAUUAAGCACUAAAAAGCAAAGAUAAAGUCUUUUACCUUCUGCAUAAUGUACUAGCUAGAAAUAACUUGACACAGAGAACCAUAGCCAAGUCUCCCGAAACCAGACGAGCUACUCAAGAACAGCUGAAAGAGCACACCCACCUGUGUGGCAAAAUAGUGGGAAAAUUCAUGAGUAGUGGUGACAAGCCUACGGAGCCUUGUGAUAGCUGGUUGUCCAAGAUAGAAUCUUAGUUCAACUUUAAACUUACCCACAGAAUUACUUAAGCUCCCUGUAAGUCUGUUAGUCUAAAGAGGGACAGCUCUUUAGACCCUAGGGAAUAACUUUUCUGUAGAAAGUAAAAAAUAUUACCCCCAUAGUUGACCCACAAACAGCCACCAAUUAAGAAAGCGUUCAACCUCAACAUCUAAUUAUCUUAAAUUCUAAUCACUUUACUGAACUCCUAACAACACCUUGGACUAAUCUGUUAUUUAAUAGAAGCAAUAAUGUUCACAUAAGUAACGUGAAAAUAUUCUCCAUUGCAUAAGCUUAUAUCAGACUGGAAUAACCCACUGACAACUAACAGCCUAAUAUUAAUAAGCAAUAUAACAAGCACCUUAUUAUUUAUUCUGUUAAUCCAACACAGGCAUGCUCUAAGGAAAGAUUACAAAAAGUAAAAGGAACUCUGCAAAUCUUACUCGGCCUGUUUACCAAAAAUAUCUCCUCUAGCAUUUCCAGUAUUAGAGGUACUGCCUGCCCACUGACAUAUGUUCAACGGCCACGGUAUCCUGACUGUGCAAAGGUAGCAUAAUCACUUGUUCCCUAAAUAGGGACUUUUACGAAUGGCCACACGAGGGUUCAGCUGUCUUUUACUUGUAAUCAGUGAAAUUGACCUAUCCGUGAAGAGGUGGGUAUAAACAAAUAAGAAAAGAAGACCCUAUGGAGCUUUAACUCAUUAAUGCAAAUAAAACUUCAAAAAGCCUACAGGCCUUAGCAUACUGUCUGUGCAUUAAAAUUUUGGUUGGGGUGACCUCGGAGUAUAAUUCAACCUCCAAACAGCCUAGACUAAGACCGCACUAGUGUAAGCGAGCUGACACACAUUGAUUCGAUAAUUUGAUCAACAGAAGAAGUUACCCUAGGGGUAACAGCACAAUCCUUUUCUAGAGUCCAUAUAGACAAUAGGGUUUACAACCUCAAUGUUGGAUCAGGCCAUCCUAAUGGCGUAGCUACUAUUAAGGGUUCAUUUGUUCAAUGAUUAAAGUCCUACGUGAUCUGAGUUCAGACCAGAGUAAUCCAGGUCAGUUUCUAUCUAUUUAACAUUUCUCCUAG
rnacentral:rRNA from 2 species